AGGCCGGGCCUGAAGCGGACAGGGAGCCCAGGAAGGCGCUGUUGCCGGACUUGACGUUGAUGCGGUCACCCGCGGUGUAGGAGGCCGUGGAGGCAAUGGUGAGCGUCAGCGUGGUGCCGCCAGAGAUGGAGCAGGCGCUGAAGGGAGCAGUCCUGGACGCGCCGGCAGCAGAGACCAGGUCAAACGCGGCGUUGCAGACGGUGCCGUUGUUGGUGGAGGCCGGCAGGUUGGCGGCGUACGGCAGGGCCACAACAAUGGUGGAGGAGGCGGUCAGCAUGGCGGUGGUGGCGGCCGUGAGGAUGGGGUUGAUGGGCGUCAGCAGCACGCCAUAGGCGGUGGUGUUGGCGAACGUCAGCUUGGUCUGGCCCGACUUGGGGGUGACCUGGUCGCCCACCACGUAGAUGCCGGCGGUCAUGUUGAGCACCAGCGUGUUGUUGGAGCCGAUGGAGCAGCCGGUCCAGGGGCUCACACGCGAGGUGGUGCCGGAGGCGUCCAGCAGGUCAAACGCGUCGCCGCACUCGGAGGCAGAGAUGGUGGCGGGGAGCGCGCUGGCUAGGGGCAGCUGCACAGUGACCUGGGUGGCGGAUGUCAGCACAGCCGAGCUGAAGCCAGGCACGAUGGCAACGGGGGUGGAGGCGGCGAUGUAGUUGGGGCCCAGGGUGACGGAGGCGCCCGCGCGCAGCUGCCACUGGCCGGUGCGCACGUUCACGGUGUCACCUACGGACAGAUGGAUCGGCACAACGUUGUUCAUACUGCUGACGUGGUCUCGAAGUGGCGUACCUUGCAUUCAACAAGUCAGGCUCUCAAUUGCCAUGCACACGUGCUUACC
rnacentral:lncRNA from 1 species